rnacentral:tRNA from 1 species
UGGGGAGUGGUCUAAUGGCAAGACGCGUGGUUUUGGUCCACGAAAUGGGGGUCCGAUUCCUCCCUCCCCAG